rnacentral:rRNA from 1 species
AGGGAAUAUUGGGCAAUGGAUGCAAGUCUGACCCAGCCAUGCCGCGUGCAGGAAGAAGGUCCUCUGGAUUGUAAACUGCUUUUAUCGGGGAAGAAUAGUUUUCUUGCGAGGGAAUGUGACGGUACCCGAUGAAUAAGCCACGGCUAACUACGUGCCAGCAGCCGCGGUAAUACGUAGGUGGCAAGCGUUGUCCGGAUUUAUUGGGUUUAAAGGGUGCGUAGGUGGUUUUAUAAGUCAGUGGUGAAAGCUGGUUGCUCAACAAUCAAGUUGCCAUUGAUACUGUUAGACUUGAGAGAAGUGGAGGUUCAUGGAAUGGAUGGUGUAGCGGUGAAAUGCAUAGAUAUCAUCCAGAACGUCGAUUGCGAAGGCAGUGGGCUGUACUUUUUCUGACACUGAGGCACGAAAGCGUGGGGAUCAAAC